CCCUGCAGUGUUCAGUCCUGUCCCUGACAGCAGUCUGCACUAGCUACUCUUUCUGCCCUCCUUCCCCCUAGGCACACAGUAGGGCUGUCAGCAUUAGGAGGGGAGGCCUGGGGGUGGGAUCUGAGAGGUGGGCUGCCCCUCAACCUGGGAACCUGGGGGGUAUUUUCUCUUCUCCCUUCGCAGGAGGCUGGCAGGUUGGAUGGCGGCUUUCUCCAGGAAGGGAGUAGAUGCCUGGCCCAGGAUCGAAUCAAAAGGUCUGAAAAAUGAUUGCUUUUUAUCCCCUGAUUGGUACAUGUGAACAAUAUGUAAACGUGUAGAGUCCUCAGGAUGGAUCUAACCUGAGCUCUUUGUCCUGCAGCUGUGGCUCACUGCCCCCGGCGGGCAGUGAGUCAGUGGGCUCCCAAGGCCAAGGAGAGGCCUAGCCCUGGCCCGCCAGGAUGGCAGCCCCACCCAGGGGAGUGUGAGGCUCUUCUAGGCUGACCUCAAAGACACCUCUCUCCCCAGAAUCCAGAGGGACACCUGGAGGGAUAAACAGGUCAGCCGUGGGUCCAGAGGCCCUUUCCUUGAGUCAACCCUGUAACUUUUAUUGGCCCAGUGGGACUCACGCAGCCUUCUGGAGGAAAGAGCAUCUUCACAUGGAAUUACCCUGGCCCGGAGGCAGACGCAGUGACCUCGGCUCCCGUGUUGCCUAGAUCUGACCUCCCCUAGUUGAAAACCGCCUCGUGUUCCCCUGGGCCGAGGGGCAGCUUCAGAGGACUGGCUGAGUGCUCUGCGGCACUGGGACCGUUGUGAAGAUCCGAUGGGACAUUGGACGCCAAGGCAUGCUGCGGACACUACACUCCAGGGCAGGAGCGUGGAGGCCCCAGAGUGGGUCUGAUGACACUGUUGAUGAAGACCUUGGCUGUGACCUCUGUGGGAAAUGAGCCAUGGACCAGCCAAUAUUCAACACACCUAACCUGGUUUAUUCAUUACCAGUGCUGACGAUCUUGUCUGUCACUUCUGUGGAUAGAAAGCAAAGGGACUCAUGUAAGUAACAACGUUUGUGUUCUUGGUUUGAAGGUAAUUCAUGUGGUCCAUGGCACUGUUUCAAAGGAAUGAGUGGCUACUGCAGACAAAGUCAGAGGAAGCCACCUGUGGACCACUGCUGAGACUGUGUCAGGAACCAUGGAUUAAGAGCGAUCUCUGUUAGUGCAACAGAGAGCCGUUAAAAACAAAGUUCGAAGGUUUCGCCUUCAUUUUUGCAGUUGCUUCAUAUUCCAUUUUAUUUUUGUACCACAUUGUAGGAGUAUUUCUCAGUUGAUGACAGUCUAGGUUGUUAAAUCCUGGAGGAGGGAGCGCCUAGCAAGAGAGAAACUAUCGUCAGUCCUCUAGUUGUGGGGUAAGAUAGUAAGUUCAUUGUACUACUUCUAAAAUAUGAAGAAAUUACAUGAAAGCUGAGCAAGUAGAGAGUAGUAAACCACAUGGGAAGGGUAUGAAGCACGGUUAUUGAUUAAUCUAUAUUGAAACAUUUGAGAUUCAAUGAAAAAUAGACCUCAUUUGUUAACUGUGCAAAAUAAAUAGUUGUAAACAGCUCUCUGCAAUAUUCAAAGAUCUUGCUCUUGGGUUUUUGUGAUUCAUAGAACUCAAUUUUUUAAAAACAUCAAUGAAACCAUGAAUGAAAUGAUAAAUAAUGUGCAUAAACAAUCCAUAAACAAUUAUAAGUAAUAAAUAAAGAGUAUUGAAGUAAAUAAAAAAAAGAGUAUUGAGCUUGGAUCGGUGAUGAGAGUUCUGGGGUAUAUGAAUCAAGAAUUUUGAAUAAACCCUAACUCAGGUCUGGAGA